rnacentral:tRNA from 1 species
GCCGCCGUGGCUCAAUGGUAGAGCGGCUGAUUUGUAAUCAGCAGGUUGGGGGUUCAAUUCCCUUCGGCGGCU